AGAUAACUAAAAAGAUAUUAAGAGUGCCACACUUAGUUGGCCUUGAUGAACUCAAGCCAUCUGGCCCUGAUGAGUGACAUCUUCAAACACUGAAAGAAUUGUCGUACGUGAUCGCCUGUCCAGGCUCAUCGUAGACCUCUCCAUUGCCCUUUGGGUGAGCCAUAACUUCAGCCCUUUGGACAUCCUUAUGCCUUGAUUCAGCACCAGGAGAAUAAUGGUAUUUUUAAAAUGGGCCUCUGUUUCAGGAAGAAGCUUGGGAUUAUUAAAAGCACUCUGUACUUUUCCAAAGGCUUUCUCUAAAGUGCAGCCCUGGGUCCAACUGAUCCUAUGACAUUGUGACAUAAAGGAUGGGACACUGGACUUAGAGUUGAGAAGACUCGAAACCUGCCUUAGACACUUACUAGCUGCAUGACUCAUGACAAGUCUCCUAAUCUCUCUCUUCCUCAGUUGCCUCAUCUCUAAAGGGAAAGGGCAAGACUCAAUGGCCUUUGAAGUCUCUUCCAGCUUUAAAUUUAUGAUCCUAUGAUCAUUUGCAAUGUCUUCCCCAUGUAUCUAUAUUUAUCCAGAGAAAGAGAGGGAUAAGUUUGUAAGCCAUCUAUCCAACUGCAUAUCUUAAUCUGUACUAUAGAUAUUCCUCGGCCACUUGGUUUUUUCCUGUAUGAAUGGUUGGGCCAUGUGAUGAUGGAUCAUAUUUAGGAGGCUCUGCAAUGAUGUAAUCAGCACAUCAUCCAUAAAUAGGAAAAUCUGGUGGACUUUACUGUCAAUUUAGAAAACCUCUUCAAUUUGGACUCUGCCAGAUCUCUCCUGUGACAAUGACCAACACUUUUGGUGAGCCUGCAUCCUAGGGUUAGAAAUUCCUUAUAACUACUCAAGUCCCUUGUGGGGAUCCUGGGACCCAAAAUCCAUUUUAGGAGGCUCUGCCAAAGAUACCCCAGAGGAGCUGAGUGCAGUGUGAGGCUAAAACGCCCACUUCCCACCCCUUCCCCAACUCCUUUUCGGAUUGGCAUGCAAAUGAAUCUGAACAAGCACAAAAGUUAGGAGAAGAUUACAAGGUCAUUGUCUUCCAUCUUCCUGGCCCACCGCCCUGCCCUUGUCAUAUAUUUCUGUCAACUGCAAAAACCCCAAACCAAAACAAGAACACAGCCUUGGCCUUUAUGUGUCCAGUGCAGAACCUCUUGUCUCCCUAUAAAGCAGGGUGGCAGCUUUCUGGCAGGUCCCUGACGGGAAGGGGCAGCAGGGACUCAGAAGUUGGGGUAAGCAUAAUGGUGGGGAACCUAGAGUGGACUUAACACUGAUCUUACUUUCCUGUUUGAAUCAAGAGCCUUCAGUGUUCAGAGAGAAGGCUGAAAUCCAGACUUGGUUCCUCUUUUCCUUGAGGGUACAGGGAUAACUGUCCCCCAUUGGCCAGGGUGGGAGCAGUGGUAGAGGAUGUUAUAUGUUCUGCCUUACCUCAGAAAUGGUCUUGAGGGGAAGUCCUCCCAGUAAAAAUGUAUCACUGGUGCCAUCCCA